rnacentral:rRNA from 1 species
UACACACCGCCCGUCACACCAUGGGAGUUGGCUUUACUCGAAGACGGUGCGCGAACCCGCAAGGGACGCAGCCGGCCACGGUAGGGUCAGCGACUGGGGUG